rnacentral:rRNA from 1 species
UACGUAGGGAGCAAGCGUUGUUCGGAAUUACUGGGCGUAAAGGGCUCGUAGGCGGCCAACUAAGUCGGAUGUGAAAUCCCCAGGCUUAACCUGGGAACUGCAUCCGAUACUGGAUGGCUUGAAUCCGGGAGAGGGAUGCAGAAUUCCAGGUGUAGCGGUGAAAUGCGUAGAUAUCUGGAGGAAUACCGGUGGCGAAGGCGGCAUCCUGGACCGGCAUUGACGCUGAUGAGCGAAAGCUAGGGGAGCAAACGGG